AUUGAACGCUGGCGGCAUGCUUUACACAUGCAAGUCGAACGGUAACAGGCCGCAAGGUGCUGACGAGUGGCGAACGGGUGAGUAAUGCAUCGGAACGUGCCCAGCCGUGGGGGAUAACUACUCGAAAGAGUAGCUAAUACCGCAUACGAUCUAUGGAUGAAAGCGGGGGACCGUAAGGCCUCGCGCGAUCGGAGCGGCCGAUGUGAGAUUAGGUAGUUGGUGGGGUAAAGGCUCACCAAGCCAACGAUCUGUAGCUGGUCUGAGAGGACGACCAGCCACACUGGGACUGAGACACGGCCCAGACUCCUACGGGAGGCAGCAGUGGGGAACUGUGGACAAUGGGCGCAAGCCUGAUCCAGCAAUGGCGCGUGCAGGAAGAAGGCCUUCGGGUUGUAAACUGCUUUUGUACGGAACGAAACGGCUCUGGUUAAUACCCGGGGCUAAUGACGGUACCGUAAGAAUAAGCACCGGCUAACUACGUG
rnacentral:rRNA from 1 species